rnacentral:rRNA from 1 species
AGUUUGAUUCUGGCUCAGGAUGAACGCUGGCGGCGUGCCUAACACAUGCAAGUCGAACGGAUCCAUAUUGAAACCUAGUGAUGUAUGGAUUAGUGGCGGACGGGUGAGUAACGCGUGGAUAACCUGCCGUAUACAGGGGGAUAACACUUAGAAAUAGGUGCUAAUACCGCAUAAGCGCACGGUUCCGCAUGGAACAGUGUGAAAAACUCCGGUGGUAUACGAUGGAUCCGCGUCUGAUUAGCCAGUUGGCGGGGUAACGGCCCACCAAAGCGACGAUCAGUAGCCGGCCUGAGAGGGUGAACGGCCACAUUGGGACUGAGACACGGCCCAAACUCCUACGGGAGGCAGCAGUGGGGAAUAUUGCACAAUGGGGGAAACCCUGAUGCAGCGACGCCGCGUGAGUGAAGAAGUAUUUCGGUACGUAAAGCUCUAUCAGCAGGGAAGAAAAAAAGUCCUUUGGACUUUGGACGGUACCUGACCAAGAAGCCCCGGCUAACUACGUGCCAGCAGCCGCGGUAAUACGU